rnacentral:rRNA from 1 species
CACGUAGGGGGCAAGCGUUGUCCGGAUUUAUUGGGCGUAAAGAGCUCGUAGGCGGUUCGGUAAGUCGGGUGUGAAACCUCCAGGCUCAACCUGGAGACGCCACCCGAUACUGCUGUGACUAGAGUCCGGUAGGGGAGCGUGGAAUUCCUGGUGUAGCGGUGAAAUGCGCAGAUAUCAGGAGGAACACCAGUGGCGAAGGCGGCGCUCUGGGCCGGAACUGACGCUGAGACGCGAAAGCGUGGGGAGCAAACAGG